UGCCCUAGUAACGGCGAGUGAAGCGGCAACAGCUCAAAUUUGAAAUCUGGCGUCUUUGGCGUCCGAGUUGUAAUUUGUAGAGGAUGCUUCUGGGCAGCCACCGGUCUAAGUUCCUUGGAACAGGACGUCAUAGAGGGUGAGAAUCCCGUAUGCGACCGGAAGGGCACCCUAUACGUAGCUCCUUCGACGAGUCGAGUUGUUUGGGAAUGCAGCUCUAAAUGGGAGGUAAAUUUCUUCUAAAGCUAAAUACCGGCCAGAGACCGAUAGCGCACAAGUAGAGUGAUCGAAAGAUGAAAAGCACUUUGGAAAGAGAGUUAAAAAGCACGUGAAAUUGUUGAAAGGGAAGCGCUUGCAACCAGACUUGUUGGCGGUGUUCCGCCGGUCUUCUGACCGGUUCACUCAUCGUCUGCAGGCCAGCAUCAUCUGGGGCCGCCGGAUAAAAGCGGUGGGAAUGUGGCUCCCUCGGGAGUGUUAUAGCCCUCCGUGUAAUACGGCGUGCCUCGGGUGAGGUCCGCGCUUCGGCUUGGAUGCUGGCGUAAUGGUUGUAAGCGGCCCGUCUUGAA
rnacentral:rRNA from 1 species